GACGAACGCUGGCGGCGUGCCUAAUACAUGCAAGUUGAGCGCUGAAGGUUGGUACUUGUACCAACUGGAUGAGCAGCGAACGGGUGAGUAACGCGUGGGGAAUCUGCCUUUGAGCGGGGGACAACAUUUGGAAACGAAUGCUAAUACCGCAUAAAAACUUUAAACACAAGUUUUAAGUUUGAAAGAUGCAAUUGCAUCACUCAAAGAUGAUCCCGCGUUGUAUUAGCUAGUUGGUGAGGUAAAGGCUCACCAAGGCGAUGAUACAUAGCCGACCUGAGAGGGUGAUCGGCCACAUUGGGACUGUGACACGGCCCAAACUCAUACGGGAGGCAGCAGCAGGGAAUCUUCGGCAAUGGACGGAAGUCUGACCGCGCAACGCCGCGGGAGUGAAGAAGGUUUUCGGAUCGUAAAACUCUGUUGGUAGAGAAGAACGUUGGUGAGAGUGGAAAGCUCAUCAAGUGACGGUAACUACCCAGAAAGGGACGGCUAACUACGUG
rnacentral:rRNA from 1 species